UACGUAGGUGGCAAGCGUUGUCCUGAUUUACUGGGCGUAAAGAGCGCGCAGGCGGUCGUUCAAGUCGCGUGUGAAAGCCCCCGGCUCAACUGGGGAGGGUCACGCGAUACUGAUCGACUGGAAGGCAGGAGAGGGUAGUGGAAUUCCCGGUGUAGUGGUGAAAUGCGUAGAUAUCGGGAGGAACACCAGUGGCGAAGGCGACUACCUGGCCUGUUCUUGACGCUGAGGCGCGAAAGCUAGGGGAGCAAACGGG
rnacentral:rRNA from 1 species